UAAAGAUGCAAAUCGCUUUAGGAUGGGCCUAGGUCUGAUCAGCUAGUUGGUAAGGUAAUGGCUUACCAAGGCUAUGACCAGUAGGGGGGCUGAGAGGCUGUUCCCCAACGACGAGACUGAGAUACGGCUCGUACACCUACGGGUGGCAGCAGUCGAGAAUAUUCCGCAAUGGGCGAAAGCCUGACGGAGCGACACCGCGUAAAGGAAGAAGUGCUUAGGCAUGUAAACUUUUUUUGACCUUGAUAAAGUCUAAUGCACCUCACUGCGUUCGGUGCGAACUCAAGCGAAAAUCUAAAAACUAAAAGCGAAAAACAACAGCUAAAAACUUAAAACUAACCAAAACCUUAGUUUUUAACUUUUAGUUGUUACUUUAAGUUUUACGAUUUAAGCUUUAAGUUUGAGCAAGCGCCGAGCAUAGCGAGGUGCGUUAGAUUGAUAGUAAAGGUAGAAUAAGAAGCGGCAAACCUCGUGCCAGCAGCAGCGGUAAUACGAGGGCUUCAAGCGUUAUCCGGAUUUAUUGGGCGUAAAGCGCGCGAAGGUGGUCCGCCCCGCAAGGGGUGGCCCCGCCCCAAUUUUGCUUUUGAGUUUUAUGGCGGCGCAUGGGCGAAUAGCCCAGCCCUAUUCGGGUCAAGCUGCUGCAUAAUGAAUUAUACAUAAUAUGACGCGACAUAGCGUAUGUAUUAUGGUUCUCGACGGCAAAAUUGGAGCGGGGACUUAAGUCCACUGUUUAAUUCCGAGGCUCAACCUCGGAGCUGCAGUGGAAACUGGCGGACUAGAGAUAGGGAGAGGUUGAAUGGAACUCACGGUGUAGGGGUGAUAUCCGUUGAUAUCGUGGGGAACACCAAAAGCGAAGGCAGUCAACUAGCCCUGUUCUGACACUGUUGCACGAAAGCGUGGGCAUAAAAAAGGGUUAGAUAUCCUUGUAUUCCACGCCCUAAACGAUGUCGAUUAGUCAUUGGAAGCAUCGACCCUUUCAGUGGCGUAGCUUACGCGUUAAAUCGACCGCCUGGGAAGUACGGCCGCAAGGCUAAAACUCAAAGGAAUAGACGGGGACUCGCACAAGCGGUGGAUCAUGACGUUUAAUUCGAUGACAAACGAGGAACCUCACCAGGGCUUGAAAUUGUAGCCGUAUGCUUUGUCUGAAAGGACGGAGUUUCCCGCAAGGGAGGGCUAUAACAGGUGUUGCAUGGUUGUCGUCAGCUCGUGCCGUGAGGCGUUCCCUUCAGUGGGGUAACGAGCGCAACCCUUGUCCUGCGUUACAAGUGUCGCAGGAGACAGUCCCGUGAAACGGGAAGGAAGUGAGGAUGACGCCAAAUCAGCAUGACCCUUUGAUGCCCUGGGCAACACUCAUGAUACAAUGGCCGAGACAAUGCGUUGCCAAGCCGCGAGGCGGAGCUAAUCGCAUCAAACUCGGUCUCAGUUCAGAUUGCAGUCUGCAACUCGACUGCAUGAAGCCGGAAUCGCUAGUAAACGCGUAUCAGCUAUGGCGCGUUGAAUACGUUCUCGAGUCCUGUACUCACC
rnacentral:rRNA from 1 species